CGCACAUUGCGCCCUUUGGCAUUCCGAAGGGCAUGCCUGUCCGAGCGUCAUUAUCCUCCCUCAAACCUCGCGUUUGGCGUUGGACCACGUCGGGGUUCUACCUCAGACGGGUCCCAAAGACAAUGACGGCGUCCGUGGGACCCUCUUCGCACUGAGCUUUCCGGAGCACGCGUCGAGUUGCAAGGUCCCGGGGACCCGGUCACACCUUUUUACUUCUAAGGUUGACCUCGGAUCAGGUAGGGAUACCCGCUGAACUUAA
rnacentral:misc_RNA from 1 species